AGAGUUUGAUCCUGGCUCAGAGCGAACGCUGGCGGCGUGCUUAACACAUGCAAGUCGAACGUGAAAUGUAGCAAUACAGAGUAAAGUGGCGUACGGGUGAGUAACACGUGGGUAAUCUACCAAAGAGCCUGGAAUAACCGGCCGAAAGGCUGGCUAAUACCAGAUAGUUCAAAUGAAAUAUAAUGUUUCGAUUGGGAAAGGGAGCGGGUAACCGCCUUCACUUUUUGAUGAGCCCGCGUCUGAUUAGCUAGUUGGUGAGGUAAUGGCUCACCAAGGCUGAGAUCAGUAGCUGGUCUGAGAGGAUGAUCAGCCACACUGGAACUGAAACACGGUCCAGACUCCUACGGGAGGCAGCAGUGGGGAAUCUUGCGCAAUGGACGAAAGUCUGACGCAGCCACGCCGCGUGAGUGAAGAAGGCCUUCGGGUUGUAAAGCUCUGUCGGAAGGGACAAAAACCAUUAUGGUUAAUAGCCAUAGUGCUUGAUGGUACCUUUAAAGGAAGCACCGGCUAACUUCGUGCCAGCAGCCGCGGUAAUACGAAGGGUGCAAGCGUUGCUCGGAAUUAUUGGGCGUAAAGGGUAGGUAGGUGGUAAUAAAAGUCUGGGGUGAAAUCCCUGAGCUCAACUCAGGACGUGCCUUGGAAACUUUAUUACUAGAGUGCUGGAGAGGUCCGCAGAAUUCCCGGUGUAGCGGUGAAAUGCGUAGAGAUCGGGAGGAAUACCAGAGGCGAAGGCGGCGGACUGGACAGCAACUGACACUCAACUACGAAAGCGUGGGUAGCAAACAGGAUUAGAUACCCUAGUAGUCC
rnacentral:rRNA from 1 species